rnacentral:rRNA from 1 species
GAAAGAUGAAAAGCACUUUGAAAAGAGGGUUAAAUAGCACGUGAAAUUGUUGAAAGGGAAGCGUUUGCGACCAGACCUUCUGCAGGCGGAUCAUGUGGUGUUUUCACCGCUGCACUUCGCCUGCUGUAGGCCAGCAUCGGUUUCCGCUGGGGGAUAAAAACUGGGGGAAAGUAGCUCUCUUCGGGGAGUGUUAUAGCCCCUUGUAUAAUGCCCCGGCGGG